UAUUGUGACCGCGAAUGGCUCAUUACAACAGCCAUAGAUUUACUGGAUAUAUCCAUUACAUGGAUAACUGUGGUAAUUCUACAGCUAAUACACGCAUCAAAGCCCCGACUUCGGAAGGGGUGCGUUAGUUACUUCAAACCAAUCGGUCUGCGGACUGGUUCCAAGUGAGAUUGAACUAUUUAGCUGAUCGCACGGUCUAUGCACCGGCGACAUAUCCUUCAAAUGUCUGCCUUAUCAACUUUCGAUGGUAGAUUAUGCGCCUACCAUGGUUGUAACGGGUAACGGAGAAUCAGGGUUUGAUUCCGGAGAGGGAGCCUGAGAAAUGGCUACCACAUCCAAGGAAGGCAGCAGGCACGCAAAUUACCCACUCCCGGCACGGGGAGGUAGUGACGAAAAAUAACAAGCUGGUCUCUUUGAGUUCCGGCAUUGUAAUGGGAACAACUUAAAUCAUUUAUCGAGGAUCUAUUGGAGGGCAAGUCUGGUGCCAGCAGCCGCGGUAAUUCCAGCUCCAAUAGCGUAUAUUAAAGUUGUUGCGGUUAAAAAGCUCGUAGUUGGAUCUACGAUCAAGGCCUGUGGUCGUCCAUCUCGGAUGUACUGCACGGACUGGUCGAUAUAUCUGGUGAACGAUUGAUGCUCUUCAUUGAGUGUCUCUAGUUGCUGGAACGUUUACCUUGAAAAAAUUGAAGUGCUCAAAGCAGGCUUAUGCCUGAACAUUGGUGCAUGGGAUAAUUGAAUAGGACUUCGGUUCUAUUUUGUUGGUUUCGGAACGCGGAGUAAUGAUUAAUAGGGACAGACGGGGGCAUUCGUAUUGCUGCGUUAGAGGUGAAAUUCUUGGAUCGUAGCUAGAGACUGACCUACUGCGAAAGCAUGUGCCAAGAAUGUUU
rnacentral:rRNA from 1 species